rnacentral:rRNA from 1 species
CAGUCGCCGCGGUAAUACGAAGGGUGCAAGCGUUACUCGGAAUUACUGGGCGUAAAGCGUGCGUAGGUGGUGGUUUAAGUCCGUCGUGAAAGCCCUGGGCUCAACCUGGGAAUUGCAGUGGAUACUGGGUCACUAGAGUGUGGUAGAGGAUAGUGGAAUUUCCGGUGUAGCAGUGAAAUGCGUAGAGAUCGGAAGGAACAUCUGUGGCGAAGGCGACUAUCUGGGCCAACACUGACACUGAGGCACGAAAGCGUGGGGAGCAAACAGGAUUAGAUACCCCCGUAGUCCCUGUCUCUUAUAC